UCUCACUUUCUCAGUGCGUCUCUCUUUCUCGUUUCCCCGUCUUUCUUCCUUCAUCUCAUCCAGAACUUAGGCUUUUGAAACCCCCGGUUCCAAUGAGCUAAGGAAGAAGAAGCUUUAGAUAGAUGUUCUAUUGUAAAACUAGUAGAUGUUCUACAUGUGCCUCGUACAGAAGCAACUAGUUUUGGUCCUGCGUUUAAUGAGGAUUGGAAGCUUGAAUCAUGGCUGAAGAUCUGGACAAACCGUUGUUGGAUCCUGAGAAUUUCAAUAGAGAUGGCAUCAAUUUGGAGAACAAAAUUUUGAAGUUUCUUAGCUUUAUGUGGAACCCCUUGUCAUGGGUUAUGGAAGCUGCAGCAGUUAUGGCACUUGUCCUUGCUAAUGGGGGAAUGAGUUAAAUGCCUCACUAAGCUGCACAUGAGUUAAAUGCAGACAAGUUGACCACGUACCAGAUUUGCAGCAAAGGUUUUUGUUCUUUUUUUUGCGAUAUCUUGUUCCUCACUGAGAAUGAAGACUAGUUGCUCUUGUAAUAUGCAGCAUAAGUUUGUAUGGUGGUCA